CCUACGGGAGACAGCAGUGGGGAAUAUUGCACAAUGGGGGAAACCCUGAUGCAGCGACGCCGCGUGAAGGAAGAAGUAUUUCGGUAUGUAAACUUCUAUCAGCAGGGAAGAAAAUGACGGUACCUGAUUAAGAAGCCCCUGCUAACUACGUGCCAGCAGCCGCGGUCAUACGGAGGGGGCAAGCGUUAUCCGGAUUUACUGGGUGUAAAGGGAGCGUAGGCGGUUUAGCAAGUCAGAAGUGAAAGCCCGGGGCUCAACUCCGGGACUGCUUUUGAAACUGUUGAACUAGAGUGCAGGAGAGGUAAGUGGAAUUCCUAGUGUAGCGGUGAAAUGCGUAGAUAUUAGGAGGAACACCAGUGGCGAAGGCGGCUUACUGGACUGUAAAUGACGCUGAGGCUCGAAAGCGUGGGGAGCAAACAGGAUUAGAUACCCUGGUAGUC
rnacentral:rRNA from 1 species